UCCCCCCCCCCCACCACGCCGUGCGUGGGGACACGGUGUGGGGACACGGCCCGGGCGCGUGUGCGUGGGGACACGGUACGCGGGUCCCUCGUGGGGGCGUGGGAUGGUCCCUUUGCACGGGGACACAGUAUGGGACAUGAUGCGGGGACAUGGUACGGCCACCCCCUCUCCCCCCCCCCCGACACGUGGGGACACGGUGUGGGGACACGGCCCGGCCACGUUUGCGUGGGGAGAUGGCACGUGGGUCCCUUGGCGUGGGGAAGUGGCGUGGGGAAGUGGCAUGGGGACAUGGGAUGGUCCCUUCACGUGGGGACACGGCAUGGGGACAUGGCAUGGCUGCCUUCCCUGUGGGGCAUGGCAUGGGGACACAGCAUGGCCCCCUUUGCACAGGGGUGGGGGGGGACAGGACACCGUGGGGGGGACAGGACACACCGGGUGGGUCUCUUGUGUGCUGGGACGUGGCAGGGUGCCCUUCCAUGUGCCACACUGUGUGGGGACACAACAGGCCCCCCGCCCCCCCACUUUUGCCUGGGGACAUGCUGUGGCACAAGGGCACGCUAUGGACCCCUUCCCCUGGGGUGACGGGCGUGGGGGCAUGGCACAGCCCCCUUUGCAGGGGCGUGGGGACACGACACGUCCCCCUCUGCCCCCCGGCCCCUUCUCCAACCCCCAGCGCUCCUUGGCUGAGCUCCCGCUGAGGCCGGACAAACUCAUUGCUGGGAUAACGGUGCUGGGCCGGGCCCCCGUCGUCCCCCCCCCGGCCUGGAAAUCCCCUGGGGGCGGCGCCGGGGGAAGCCCUGGCAGCCCUGUCCUGAACGGGGCACAGACACCCACGGCCACCCGCAGCCCUCGGGGACCACCCGGGGCACACGUGGGGCCAUCCCUAUCCCGCGGCCCCCCGGGCCCGGAGCGGGUGCCCUCCCUGGGGGGCUGCAGCCCAGGCACCCGCCUGCCCUGGGGCUGCAGCCGGGGCUCUCUCCCCCCAGAUCCCCUCUUGCAGUGCAGGAAGGGGGGGGUCCCGCACCCCCCCGGGAGCGCGUCCCUGCCGGCACCCCGUGAUGGCCCCGGGACCUGCUGCCUCCCCGCAGCCAGCCGGAGAGGAGAAGCCAGCGGGGAUGGCCGGGGAGGGGGACUGACCCCCCAUCCAUGGCAGGGGACAACCGCCCGGGGCUACCGGAGAGCAGCCCAGCGCCCGGGGCCUGCGCCUGUCCCUCGCCCCCCCGCCGCGCACACCCCAGCCCCGCAGGCUCCCGGCGAGCCCCGGCCAUGUAGGUGCAGCCGGGGUGGGGGGGCUCCGCCGACGGCCGCCGUCGACAUGCAGCCGGGCUACGCGGCCGUCCUGUGUGUCCUGGCCGUGCUGGGGCUGGAGGCUGCUGCGCCGGGAGAAUGCGAGCUCAGCCGCCUGCUGCAGGACAAGCUGCAGUACGAGAUGCGCCUGCAGUACAUGAAACACAACUUCCCCAUCGACUACACGGUCCAGGUCCAGUACGAAGAGGUGCUGAGGCCAUCCAACAUCACCCGCCUGCGCAACGGGACGGUGUCGGAGGCGGCACUGCGGUACCUCUGGUUCCACGUCAGCUCCCAGGCGGUGCUGCGGAUCCGUGAGGUGCUGCCAGAGAAGCACCCAUCCUGGAAGUACACCCAGGAGCUGGGCCAGCUCUUCGACGCCCUGGGCAAGGAGUACAGCAAGUACCGGCAGACGGACGUGGAGGCGGUGGUGGCCGACCUGGUGAAGCUGGUGCACAGCGCGGGCGCCGAGAGCCGGAGGAAGGCCGUGCGCCCCAAGGCGCUGCUGGACAACUGCCUCAAGGUCAUGCGGAUGCUCUACGGGGCACCUUGUAAUUCUCCAGUGCUCAGCGUCGCCGCUCUGCUUCCAGCCAGGGGGGGUCCCGGGAGCUCCCAGCCUUUCCCCAAAUAAAGGGCCAGCAGAGAGAACCCCAGCUGCCUCCUCUGCCUCCUCUUUUUGGGGUGUCGGUCCCCUCCCCUGACUUGGCGGGGGACAUAUUUCCCCCCACCCCCCCAUAGAGGAGACCUCCAGGGCCACCUCCUGCCGAGCCGCCUCCGUCAGCCCCGGCCGCUUCCCCGGCAAGAAAACAUCUGGAUUUGUUUGUUAUGCUUGGCGGCGCGGCGCGCCGGAGGGGCUGGGGGCUGGCCGGCUGCCUCCCCCCCCACGCCUUCCCCCAGCUUAAUUAACUUAAUCAGCUAUUAGAGCCCUUAAUUGGUGUAUUCCAGGCUGCGGGGCUGCUUAGGAUUGCAAGCCUAGGAGAACGUGCAGCUUCAAAAAUGUCAGCGGAGGGCGGGCGCGGAAAGGAAAGGCACUCACGCGACGGCGGGAACCGGAGCCCGGAUACACCAUGAGACGAGAUGGAGUCGGGCCAGGGCAAGGUGCUGAGGUCCCGGAAGCCAUCCCCAGGGACAUGCAAGGACUUGGGACAGGCUCCCGCUGUGAAACCCCCAGCUGAUGGAAAUGGAAGAGCCUUCGCUGGCCUUGAACCAGCAGGAAAAAAAGCCCGCCAGCGUCCUCGGGGUGGGCAAGGAAAGGACGACUGGUUUUGGAGGAGCUGGGCUUUUGGAAAGAUGCUCCAUGGCCGUCGUUUUGGGGCUGUCUAGGAGGCCACCGGUCCCCAGAGGCCACUUUGCAGUGUGGGGCCGUAUCCAGCCCUGCCUCUCCGGCAGCGUGAGGAUGCCCCAGCAGAGCCUGGCACCGGGAUGCAGGACUUGGAGCAUCCUUCCCUCUGCUGCCCUGGCAUCAGCAUCCUUGGGGAGGGUGGGGUGGGGGUGGGGGCAACGAUCCCAACUCUCACCCCCCGCAAGCCAGGGGUCCCUGCCCUCACCCCACAGAACCAGAACGAGCCUGGAAAUGGCCAUGAAUUAACUUUACUGAGCUCAGCGUGUGCCGCGGGCGGGCGCCGCGCUCACCAGGGCAGGCUCUGCCCUCUCCAGUCCCAGAAGGUGCCGUUGCUGGUGGCCGAGAGCCCGGCCAGCAGCCGUAGGACGCCCUGCACGCUCUCCUC